rnacentral:rRNA from 1 species
UUUACUGAGAGUUUGAUCCUGGCUCAGGACGAACGCUGGCGGCGUGCCUAAUACAUGCAAGUCGUGCGGACCUUUUAAAAGCUUGCUUUUAAAAGGUUAGCGGCGGACGGGUGAGUAACACGUGGGCAACCUGCCUGUAAGAUCGGGAUAACGCCGGGAAACCGGGGCUAAUACCGGAUAGUUUUUUUCCUCCGCAUGGAGGAAAAAGGAAAGACGGCUUCGGCUGUCACUUACAGAU